rnacentral:rRNA from 1 species
UACGGAGGGUGCAAACGUUGCUCGGAAUCAUUGGGCGUAAAGCGCACGUAGGCGGUCUGGUAAGUCGGAUGUGAAAUCCCUCGGCUCAACCGAGGAAGUGCAUUCGAAACUGUCAGACUUGAAUAUGGAAGAGGGUCGUGGAAUUCCCGGUGUAGAGGUGAAAUUCGUAGAUAUCGGGAGGAACACCAGUGGCGAAGGCGGCGACCUGGGCCAAUAUUGACGCUGAGGUGCGAAAGCGUGGGGGAGCAAACAGG